GAAGAAACAGAGGGGGGGGUCCUGGUGCCCCCAUUGCCCUGCCGGGCUGCGCUUCGGAGCAGGAGACCGAAAGCCUUGGGCGUGAGCGUGGGCACGGCGUGUGCAAGGCGUGUGCAAGGCACACGAGUGUAAGCCCAGCGUGUGCAAGGCGUGCAAGCGUGGGUACCCAACAGCCGGGGCGCACAGCAGUGGAGGAGCACGCGUGGGUUUUCCAGGCACCCCCUGCCCCUGCGCUCUCCUGGGGCGCCGGGCACGUCCCCGGUGCCGGUGCUGCUCGCCGUCACCCGGCCGUGUGGCACCGGGUGCUCCGUCCCAACCACCUCCCCCCCACGUCUGUGGUCCCUGCGGCGGGGCAGCAGCCCUGACCCCAUUGCCUGCCACCCAUGGGUGCCCCUGAAAUCGGGGUGCGCCCGCUUCGCCCCUGCCGAGCUUUGCAAUUUGCCCUCACCCCAGGCAGCCCGGAGCGCCGUGCUCUGCUCGAGCGCUCUCGGAGCUCGCUGGCAGCAAACGGGGCUCCGAGUCUGACCCGGAGCAUGGGGAAAGGCGUGAAUCCCCAGAGAUUAGAGGGUUGGGUUGUUGGUUUUUUUUUUUUUUUUUUUUUUUUUUUCUCCACAAAGCCAUUCAGGGCCUGGAAAGGCUGCCUCUGUCCCCUCGAACCAGUCCGGCUCGCCGGCACUGCUAUGCAAAUCGGUCAGAGCUUUUGCAGGCGACAUUGGGACCUGGAUGUGCAGGAGCUGCCGGGCAGCUCAAAGCUCCGAGGGGGAAUUUUUUUUCACAAGGCACCUCCGUGCUUGCCUAAUCGAGGUCGGAUUUUGACUUGGGCUGUGGCAACAGGGAGGAAAAAUAAAUUCCUGGGGAUAAAAGCAGCUCUGCGAUGUGGCGUUAGAGGCACAAAGGUGUCAGCAACACGGCGCCGAUGA
rnacentral:lncRNA from 1 species